AGUGAACGCUGGCGGUAGGCCUAACACAUGCAAGUCGAACGGCAGCACAGUAAGAGCUUGCUCUUACGGGUGGCGAGUGGCGGACGGGUGAGGAAUACAUCGGAAUCUACUUUUUCGUGGGGGAUAACGUAGGGAAACUUACGCUAAUACCGCAUACGACCUACGGGUGAAAGCAGGGGAUCUUCGGACCUUGCGCGAUUGAAUGAGCCGAUGUCGGAUUAGCUAGUUGGCGGGGUAAAGGCCCACCAAGGCGACGAUCCGUAGCUGGUCUGAGAGGAUGAACCGCCACACUGGAACUGAGACACGGUCCAGACUCCUACGGGAGGCAGCAGUGGGGAAUAUUGGACAAUGGGCGGAAGCCUGAUCCAGCCAUACCGCGUGGGGGAAGAAGGCCUUCGGGUUGUAAAGCCCUUUUGUUGGGAAAGAAAAGCAGCAGGUUAAUACCCCGCUGUUCUGACGGUAACCAAAGAAUAAGCACCGGCUAACUUCGUG
rnacentral:rRNA from 1 species